CCUCGGCAGCAGGCAGCGGAGCUCCGGCGGUCAACAAUCGCGGGCAACAAUCCCUUUCUCCUCCAUGUCUCGGUUCAUGUACUUUAGGGAGUUAAAGCCAAAGUUCCUUUCCCCCAAUUCCAUCUCAACCAUGGCUGAGAUAACCCCCACCACGAGUCAGACGUCUCUGGUAUUUCAUACGUUAUGCAUCAGAUGGUCUGACGCAUAACGAGCAGAACGGUUAUCCAAAUAACAAAGAAGUGUGCAACACUUGCGUUACAGUGUUUGUGUUCACACACACACACACACACACACACACACACACACACACACACACACACACACGUGGCGAUUGCAAGGUCGUAGAUCAUUCUCUCAUUGGCGGGCCAAAUACUCUGGGCGGGCAAAGCAGAGAAAGGGGAGGUAACAUGUCAGCGUGUGACAACAUAUGGGGAAAAUUCCAAAUCGGCGCGUCUGAGCUUUGGUUUUUCAAAGGCAGAGCAGGAUACCUAGUGCUCGUUUUACACUUAACGCCAUUUGUAGCUACUGGGGGACUAUAGCCAGGCUAGGGGAAGUCAUAUUAAUGUUAGAAAAUCUCAUAAAGUGAAAUUUGGAGCUACAUCUGUAGGUCUAGAAAAGAGCUACUCCUGUUUAAAGCAGCUCAAGUCCUACCCCUGUAACACAAUAGGCCAAGGCCGUUAAAGAAUGCUGGCCAAUGAGAGGAGACUGGUCAAGUCAAGACAGCUAGUUGGUAUGACAGGGCCCCAGAGCAUUUCCUUGAAAAGGAACGGAGCAGAAUUAACCUAUAAAUAAAUUGACUUUAUAUGAUUUAUUUGAUGCAGGCCGGAAAUUAGCUUCCCCUCUUUGACAGACCAGCAGCCACCACUACAAAUGUGGGAUAUUAACCAAUGGAUUAUAGCGAAGUUGUAAUAAGAGGAAUAUUAACCAAUUGUAAUCCAGUUUUAAUUUCAGAAGCAUCUAGCAGUGAGUCAUAUUAGGGGUAUUAACCACUGAUUUUCCACCUGUAAUGUCAUCCAAUAUAGCCGUUUUCACACAUGUCCUCCACAUUUUCGCCGCAUUUGUGUAUCAUGAUAUUCAACCCUGAGGGUGAUUCACACCUGAUGCUUUAUAUGCGGGCAUCAAUGUCGUUCCGACAGCAGUAGAAUCAAUGGGGGGUUUAGGGGGUUGAGCUAUAUAUAGCAUAUAAGAACUCAAAAAGGGUUAUUAUAUGUGGGGAUCUAGCUUUUUUCCAAAAUCUCCACUCUGGCCGGAGUUUUGAGAAAGAAAUGUCCAAAAAGGACCGAGAGGGAUCUUUUCCAGAGGCGAACAGAAGCUGCUUAUGGAGGUCAUAAUAUAUAUAGCUUUUUCUAAUGAACGCUACAGUCGUCUGGACUUGCUGGAUAUCGGUUUCCAACUGAAGUUUAUGGAGAAGAUGACCAUCGCCAGUGACUUUCAUUGCACUCACAACAUCCAUUCCGUGGAUUGUUAAACGUCCGCUGCUGAGCCUCUACCUUACAAACGCCAGAUCCCUGGUAAACAAAACGGACGAUUUGGAAAUACAGCUGGCUGGAAAUCGCUAUGUCCGCGAAUGCUGCAUGCUCAUCAUCACAGAGACAUGGCUACAUACACAAUUCCCUGAUGCCACGGUGCAACUAGCAGGACGCACGCUACACAGAUGGGAUAGGAACAGUGACUCCGGAAAAAACAGAGGACGGCUCUGCAUCUAUGUGAAUGAAGGUUGGUGUAACAACAGCACUAUUCUGGACAAACACUGUUCUCCUGACCUGGAGUUCAUGUCAGUGAGAUGCAGACCCUUUCUACCUAGAGAAAAAGCUGCUGUUGUCCUCACUGCAGUCAACAUACCACCGGACGCUAAUGUAAACACGGCUCUCUCUCUGCUGCAUAAUGCAAUCAAUAACCACCAGCGCGCCCACUCCAAUGGCGCCCACAUUAUUGCAGGGGACUUCAAUAAAGCAAAUCUCAAGACUGUUCUACCAAAAUUCUAUCAAUUUGUAAAAUGCCCAACAAGAGGAGAAAACCCUCUGGGUCAUGUGUAUUCCCACAUCAAGUGUGCAUACAGAGCCGUACCCCUCCCCCACCUGGGCCGGUCAGACUACCUCUCACUGCUCCUCACCCCCGCAUACACCCCCCUCUGUCGACAAACAAAGCCCACAAAGAAGACCAUUACCACCUGGCCUGAGGAUGCCCUCCCCCGACUGCAGGACUGCUUUGAACAAACACAGUGGGAAGCCUUCUACCAUGAAGACCUGGCUACAUUCGUAGACACAGUACUGUCUUACAUCAAGUACUGCAUUGGGAAUGUGGAAAAGUGCAUCCGGGUGUUCCCAAACCAGAAACCAUGGAUGAUAAGCCAGGUCUGCACGCUCCUCCGGGCCUGUGACUCAUCCUUCAGAUCAGGUGACAGAGCAUUGUACAGCGCCGCUCGCGUCGACCAGAGGAGAGGCAUUAGGUGGGCCAAAGUAGAAUACAAGAGGAGGAUAGAGGAACAGCUCAACAAUCCCCGGCAGGUGUGGCAGAGCAUACAGACCAUCACCAAUUAGAGAGGCUGUGCUGUGACACCCGGGGACUCAGAUGCGGCAUUGGCAGAGGAGCUGAACAGCUUCUUUGCCCGCUUUGAGUCUCAAACACAGCACUCAGCCACAUCACUCCAACCACCACUACAACCCCCAUCAGCAAUCAUCCCAAUCCCUAAGAAGUUACCCACUACCAGCCUCAAUGACUUCUGCCCCAUAGCACUCACCCCAGUCAUCACCAAGUGCUUUGAGAAACUGGUUUGGAGACACAUCAAAGCCUGUCUCCCCCCCACCCUGGACACACACCAGUUUGCAUACCGGACUAACAGAUCCACCGACGACGCAAUAGCCAUCGCUGUCCACUCAGCGCUGAGUCACCUGGAGAAAGAGGGGAGCUACGUCAGGAUGCUCUUCAUUGACUUCAGCUCAGCUUUUAACAUCAUAAUACCAGACAUUCUGAUCCCCAAGUUAAUCAACCUGGGGCUCCCACCACCCACCUGCUCCUGGAUUAAAGACUUUCUGGUCAACCGACCCCAGCAGGUGAAACUGGGUCCUCACCUCUCCUCCUCCCGCACUCUCAGCACUGGCUCUCCCCCGGGCUGUGUGCUGAGCCCACCACUCUACUCCCUCUACACAUCUGACUGCAGUCCCAUCCACCCAGAGAACAUCUUUGUCAAAUUCGCUGAUGACACAACGGUGGUGGGCCUUAUAACAGGGGGAAACAAGGCGGCCUACAGAGAUGAGGUCCUGAAACUUGGUGAGUGGUGUGUUUCUAACAACCUGGCACUGAACAUCACCAAGACCAAGGAAAAUUGCAAAUCGGCGCGUCUGAGCUUUGUUUUUUCAAAGGCAGAGCAGGAUAUUACCUAGUGCUCGUUUUACACUUUCUGAGGGUGCUCAGGAGGGAGCAUCUAAACACACAGCUGCUGGUGACCUUCUACCGUUCAACCAUCGAGAGCCUGCUGACCUACGCUGUGUCAGUGUGGCACUCCAGCUGCAUGGAGGCCGACAGGAAGAGACUGCAGAGGGUGGCAAACGUCGCGCAAAAAAUCAUUGGCUGCCCUCUGCCUUCCUUAAGCACCAUCUACGGCUCCCGCCUUCUCAGCAGGGCCAGAGGCAUCCUGAAGGACACCACCCACCCCGGCUACCAUCUCUUCAACCUGUUGCCCUCUGGCAGGCGCUUCAGUCCAGCGAUCCCAAGCCCACACCCAGGUUUGCCCAACCAUCGUGCGGACCUCAGGCGUUUCUUUACCUAUUGGUCAGCUGCGCGGCCUCCAGAAGGGUUGACUUUCUUCUUUUUCUUUGCUUGUUGUGGGUCGCCUGGUAGUCGACUCUUAAAGGGGGGGUACUGUCAUGGAAUGUCUGUUUCCUUGUCUUGUUUUGGUGUGUUUCCCUGUGUUUCCUGUUUUACUUUGG